rnacentral:rRNA from 1 species
AGGAGGCAGCAGUGGGGAAUUUUGCGCAAUGGGGGAAACCCUGACGCAGCAACGCCGCGUGAGUGAUGAAGGCCUUCGGGUCGUAAAGCUCUGUCAGAGGGAAAGAAGUGUGGGAGGGUUAAUACCCCUUUCACUUGACGGUACCCUCAAAGGAAGCACCGGCUAGCUCCGUGCCAGCAGCCGCGGUAAUACGGAGGGUGCGAGCGUUGUUCGGAAUUAUUGGGCGUAAAGCGCGUGUAGGCGGCUCCUUAAGUCUGAUGUGAAAGCCCCGGGCUCAACCUGGGAAGUGCAUUGGAAACUGGGGAACUUGAGUACGGGAGAGGGUAGUGGAAUUCCCAGUGUAGGAGUGAAAUCCGUAGAUAUUGGGAGGAACACCGGUGGCGAAGGCGGCUGCCUGGACCGAUACUGACGCUGAGACGCGAAAGCGUGGGGAGCAAACAGGAUUAGAUACCCGAGUAGUCCC